GAUUACAAGCAAUUUAAUUAACAAAUCAUAAAAACAAAAUAAAAGGUGUAAGUUAAUUGAGUCAAAGGUAACAUUGACAACAAAAAGUUAUAACACUGCACUUGGAAAUUGCGGGAAGAAAAAAAUCUUACUCUCAGAUAAAAUAAAACACUUCACAUUAGAUGUGUUCAAAUGAUUCCCACUUCUUUCCAUCACAGGAACAUCAUUUCCUCCUUCCACUACAUCAAUUACUUUCCAAUCCAUUCUCAACGUCUCUCACCGCUCGCAACUGCUUCUUAGUAAAUCUAUGCGAAAGCUAGAAGAAUCUUUAUUUUUGCAAGCAUGCAGGAUCCACACAAACAAGCCCUCAUGGUUCCGAGUUUGCAGGAUUAAACAGAUAAAAACGCAACACCUUUCAUCUUCAAACACGUCCAACUCACAUUAAAUUAUUGUUUCGUAACAGCCCAAAUACACCAACACGCAUAUGACCCUUAAAAAUCCCACCUUUUUCAACACACAAAACACAAUCAUCCAAAAAAACACCACCCACUCAUCCAGAUCUAAAAAUCUAAACUUUAUCAACCCCCAGUACACAACCAUCUAAAACAAACAAAACCUAGCACUUAGAAAACCAUAUAAAAACGUAAAAGAGAGGUAAUUACGGGAUAAGAUCUUGUAACCGUUGAGCUCUAGUGUUCACAAAUCUCAAGUACACAAAUCACACCACAGAGCAUAUGUUAUUUCAAAAAAAAUAGAGAUUGAUAGAAAAAAAAAUCAUACCUGGUAUCACAAGAUUCAAGGUCGGGUCAAGUGUGAGAGAGAAAGGUGACUGGUUUGUUAGAUCUAAAGGCUAGGUUGGGUCAAGU